AGCUCCAGGCAGUUAUAACAGUUAAGCAGAAUGGGAAAAUGGCAUACAAUCUAAUUUACCUUUCCAGCUCUUGGCACAUGGGUAGAUUAAAGAUGUAUAGAGGAAGGAGGAGAGCAUUUUAGCUGGAGGCAGUAAAGGAAGUUGAAUUAUGAGUGAGAGAUAGAUCUGAUAGGAAAAGGAAGGAAAUUAAAGACAGGCUGGGUUAUGGAGCGCCUUGACUUCAGGCUGACUUAAAGCAGUAGGCAACAGGGAAUCGCCAAAGGCUGCUGGGCAAGUAACCGUGGUAACGGUCCUAUGGGGGCAAGAUGUCUCUGGCAGCCAGUGCCAGGUGGAUUGCAAAGGGACUGAGUAGGAGGGCUGGAACUCAGGACAAGGUGCUGAGGGAUGCUGGAAAGGAAAGCUUGGUGGACGCGCUGACUCCUGGCACAUUAAGAAUGAAGAAAGUGGUGCCAUCCAAAUGGUUUCUCCGACCUUGACCUCCACAGGCUGGGAGAAUAACAGCACCUCCACCAGGAAGUGUGGUUGGGCACCGAGGAGAGAAUGUGCUUUGUUUCAGGAAAGGUAAAAACAUCCCUGUGACAUCAUUCUCCUCCCAACUGAUGAGGAGCUGGAGAUGGCCCCAGUGGAGCAGGACCCACAGCAGGAAUUUGAACACAGAUCAGUUAGACCCCAAGCCAAGCUCUUAGUCCCAUACAGAGUUGGGCCCUGGUGGAAGAAUUGUUUGGCCUAAAGUGUCAACAGUGCCAAGGUUAAGAAGCCCUUGUGUAGACCCAAGGAUGGGCAAAAGGCUCUUAGGAAGAUGGCAGCGGUUCACAGAUGCAGUGCCCAAGUCUCUCUGGCCACAGAAUCCCCCAGAGUUCUGGUGAUCACCUCCAUAUCUCCAAAUAAUGUGUUUCUACCACCACUUCUUGCUUUAUCAACUAUGCACUUUAUCUACUGACCUUCUACCGGGAUAAAUGAAGACUCAGCUCACCAAAAACUCACCUGCCUCUCUUUCAUCCUUCUUCCCAAGAUAGCUAAAUCAGUUCUUAAUUCUUCUACUGGUCACCUUUGUGUAAAUAAAGCAUACAUAUUAAAUAAUAAUAUGUAUUAUUUUGAACAUGUAUGAUUUGCACACA